rnacentral:rRNA from 1 species
ACUCCUACGGGAGGCAGCAGUAGGGAAUAUUGGUCAAUGGGCGAAAGCCUGAACCAGCCAUGCCGCGUGUCAGAUGAAGGUCCUCUGGAUUGUAAAUGACUUUUCUACGGGAAGAAUGAGCCGUCUGCGGACGGAAGUUGACGGUACCGUAGGAAUAAGCACCGGCUAACUACGUGCCAGCAGCCGCGGUAAUACGUAGGGGUGCAAGCGUUGUCCGGAUUUACUGGGGUUUAAAGGGUACGUAGGCGGUUGUGCCAAGUCUGGGGUGAAAGUUUGCAGCUCAACUGUAAAAUUGCCUUGGAUACUGGUCGGCUAGAGUAGUGGAGCGGUGGCUGGAAUUUAUAGUGUAGCGGUGAAAUGCUUAGAUACUAUGAGGAACACCAAUUGCGAAGGCAGGUCACUGGUCACUAACUGACGCUGAGGUACGAAAGUGUGGGGAUCAAACAGGAUUAGAUACCCUGGUAGGCAAGCG